rnacentral:tRNA from 1 species
GGAGAAAUGACCGAGUGGCUGAAGGUGCGCGCCUGGAAAGUGCGUAAGCUCCAAAAGGGCUUCGUGGGUUCGAAUCCCGCUUUCUCCGCCA